rnacentral:rRNA from 1 species
AUUGAACGCUGGCGGCAUGCCUUACACAUGCAAGUCGAACGGCAGCACGGGAGCAAUCCUGGUGGCGAGUGGCGAACGGGUGAGUAAUAUAUCGGAACGUGCCCAGUAGUGGGGGAUAGCCCGGCGAAAGCCGGAUUAAUACCGCAUGAGACCUGAGGGUGAAAGCGGGGGAUCGCAAGACCUCGCGCUAUUGGAGCGGCCGAUAUCAGAUUAGCUAGUUGGUGGGGUAAAGGCCUACCAAGGCAACGAUCUGUAGUUGGUCUGAGAGGACGACCAGCCUCACUGGGACUGAGACACGGCCCAGACUCCUACGGGAGGCAGCAGUGGGGAAUUUUGGACAAUGGGCGCAAGCCUGAUCCAGCAAUGCCGCGUGCAGGAAGAAGGCCUUCGGGUUGUAAACUGCUUUUGUCAGGGAAGAAAUCCCUUGGGAUAAUACCUCGGGGGGAUGACGGUACCUGAAGAAUAAGCACCGGCUAACUACGUGCCAGCAGCCGCAGUAAGAC